AGCCCCAGCCCCGGGAGUCCCAGGUGUUCCCAUUCUGUGAUCAGGACAGAACACAGACAUCUCACCAUGGAGACUGUGCUUGGCUGGGCUUUCCUUGUUGCUGUUUUAAAAGGUGUCCAGUGUGAGGUGCAGCUGGUGGAGUCUGGGGGAGGCCUGGUGAAGCCUGGAGGGUCCCUGAGACUCUCCUGUGCAGCCUCCGGAUUCACCUUCAGUACCUCUUACAUGAGCUGGGUCCACCAGGCUCCAGGGAAGGGGCUGGAGUGGGUUGCAUAUAUUAAUAGUGGUGGAAGCACAUACUAUGCAGACUCCGUGAAGGGCCGAUUCACCAUCUCCAGAGACAACGCCAAGAACACACUGUAUCUGCAGAUGAACAACCUGAGAGUCGAAGACAUGGCCACGUAUUUCUGUGCGAGAGACACAGUGAGGAGUCAUCAAGACCACAUCAAGAACACGCUGUAUCUGCAGAUGAACAACCUGAGAGCCGAGGACAUGGCCAUCUAUUACUUGGAGAAGAACACAGGGCCCGCCCGCUCAGGCCUGCAGGUGGACUGA